GAUGAACGCUAGCGGCAGGCUUAAUACAUGCAAGUCGAGGGGCAGCAUGAUUGUAGCAAUACAAUUGAUGGCGACCGGCAAACGGGUGCGGAACACGUACACAACCUUCCAACAAGUGGGGAUAGCCCAGAGAAAUUUGGAUUAAUACCCCGUAACAUAGCGAUGUGGCAUCACAUUGCUAUUAUAGAUUUUUCGCUUGUUGAUGGGUGUGCGGCUGAUUAGAUAGUUGGCGGGGUAACGGCCCACCAAGUCUACGAUCAGUAGCUGAUGUGAGAGCAUGAUCAGCCACACGGGAACUGAGACACGGGCCCGAAUACGACGGGAGGCAGCAGUAAGGAAUAUUGGACAAUGGACGCAAGUCUGAUCCAGCCAUGCCGCGUGAAGGAUUAAGGUCCUCUGGAUUGUAAACUGCUUUUGUACGGAACGAAAAAGCUCUCUCUAAUACAGGGGGUGAAUGACGGUACCGUAAGAAUAAGCACCGGCUAACUACGUGCCAGCCGCCGCAGUAAUAC
rnacentral:rRNA from 1 species